CCUGCAACUAGAGAAUUUAAAAGCUGAUCACAACAACUCAGUAGGGGACCCUGUAAUAGUGAUGCAAGAAAACUAGAAGGUAUCUCAUCAUCCUGUGCAGCGAGGAUUGGUAUGGUAAACCAACUGAAACAUUGAGGACUGACAAAUCAUUGUAACUGGGACAUGGCAGAAGAAACAGAAGUAGGGUUAAACUGUGGAGGACAAGAACUUGACUGAAAGGUUGGUGGUUUAAUUACCGAGUACUGAUCAGGUUGCCUUUGUAUUUGGGCAACUGCUGGUUAUUUGCUUACAGAGGAUUUGAUAUCUCCAGAUCCAGAUUUGGAUAUCUGAAGAAACAAUGAGAAUGGGGAGUGGAUGAGUUAAUCAUAAACCAGCUUCCUUCAUUGUUGCUUAAAGCUCCUUCAUAAUUAUAAUAAUUAGUAAGCAGAGGAUCAGAGUGUGGAUCUUGUUGGCUUUGCUAGUCUUGUUUAUUAUCCUGCAGCCAUUGUGUGUCUGUGUCAAUAUGCUGACAUACUGUUUGGCUCUCUGUUUCACAUGCAGCACCUUUAGCUCCAGAAUGCCAAACGUUCAGUCAAGUUCUUGUCUGCCACAGGUUAGCCAUCACCCUACUUCCGUUUCCUCUGCCAUGUUCCAGUUACAAUGGUUUGUCAGUCCUCGAUGCUUGGAAGUACCAUUUUAAUUUGGGCGUUCAAGUGAAAGGACUGCUGUAGAGAAUACAGACAUCAAUGACUUUCCAGGGUUUAAGGUUUAUUUUGUUUUUAGAAGGUUAGACAUUAACUUGAAAAAAAAAUUAUUCAGUAAACUCAAGAGAAGACCAAAACAAGCUCCCCUUCGCUGCUGCGCCAUGUGAGAGCGGAAGGAAGUGCAGUCGUCUUAAAAUGUGUACCAGGUGAGUUAACCAACGAACGUAGAAAAAAGCAGGAGCCAAUCAGCGAUGGGAAAACAAGGACAGGAAGUGAGGUAAGGGACCUGAGCCAUAGAUGAGCAAGAAAAGGGGUAAAUAAGAUAUCUUUGCUACUCAUAUAGUGAUGAAGUUUAACAGCUCUGUUUUACGAUUUUCUGUUUCUCUUCAAGGAUGAAUUUUCUUUUCAACAUAAAUCCACAUUACACUGAAUCUAGGGUUAUUCAACUUCCUUACGUAAGACUUGCCUCUCCAGUAAUGUAGCCGAACAUUUUUAUUGCAUUUCAGCCAACAUUUAAAAGAUUUAUGACACAAAACUUACAUUUUGACAGAGAAAGUAACACAGCUGACAUGACGCAUUAGGAGUGAAAGAGAAACUGUUACUUAAGAUAAAAGAGGAAAAAGGCAUUUUGUUUUCUCUCUGUUUCUAUAAAUAAGAAGCUCUUCUCUCAGAAUCAGCAUCUGAUAACCUCAUCUCCCUGAAACAUAAAACACUCUGUUUAAUAAUAAUGUAUAUAACACUGCUGAUUUACCCCUGUGAAUGUAACAAUUUCAAGAAGCACUUUGCAGUUUUCAACCUUACAUGUUGUUUAUCAAAUUAAAAUAAUGUCAUCAGGAAUCAACCCUUUCAAACCAAACAUUAUCUUGGUGAUACCAGGUUCCUUUAAUCAGACAGUGAAGUCUAGUUAGAGUGUAAGUAUUUAUUCAUUGUAAUAUAUACUGUAUCUAAACAAUAUCAUAGCUUUUGUGUAUAAUUGCACAUAUUUUUGUGCUACAAGCUGCAUGUACUUUGCAAUUUGUUGCUUAAAAAUCUUCUUCUUCUUCUUCUUCUUAGUAGUAUUAUCAUUGUUAUUUUAAUAAUAAUAAUUUUAAACAAAUAAUGAUAGUAAUUGUAGUUGUGUAGUUGUCACAUGAUCUUGUCUGUGCUCAGCCCAAUUUUAAUGAUCUGAAUUUUUCUGCUUGAGUUGCAAACUAGAUGAGCCAUGUUCAGAUGUAAACAGCCAGUAUGAAGCUGGUGUGGGAACGUUCAUUCACCAUCUGCAGAGCAUUCACAUUCAUCGAGCAGAAACCGAGACUUGGCAGAUUUCUGCUGUAACCUGACAGCUGCUAAAGAGGAAGGAGCUGGGUGUUUAAGUCAUCAAUGAAAUCACAACCAAUCCUGCUGCUGCA
ensembl:lncRNA